rnacentral:misc_RNA from 1 species
AGCAGGAAUCAAUGUCUGCUCAGGUGAUUUUUUAAACUGCAGAAUGAUUAUUAUCUAAUUGGAUUGUUAUAUGGCAAUGAAGUCCUGUUCAACUUUCCUCUAUAUUAUUCUUCUUCUUAAGUGAAUGUAUGAUAAACAUGAAUGUUUAAAUUGAUUUUUAAUACCAGCCAGUGUCUCUGCUACCAAAAUAUUAGUGCAAAGCCAUACUACAACACAGUUUGUUCCAGGUCCAGGAUAUGCAUUUAUAUUUUUAUGGUGCUCUUGAUUUCCAUGAGUCACGAAAUAGGUUAACAAGCUGAGCACCUUUUAUCUUGAAUUAAGUUAACAUGGAAUAAAUUAGAGAUUGUAGUAGUAAAUUACAAGUUAUGAAGUAUGCAUGUGUGUGCAAUUACAUAUGUACAUGCAUGUUAUACCUUUUUACUGCAAUAAACAUGUAUUUGGAUAUUUCAAAUUUAACUGCAAUUAAUGGUGGACUUAUAUCCUCUGAUUACAGUAUGCCAUUGUCUUUGUAAUCAGUUCCCUUUUUUACCGCUAUUUGAAUUUAAACUGUAAACAUCAGUUAGUAAUUUUUGCCUUGUACUAGUAUUUUUCUAAUGAUACGUAUCUAAGCUUAAGGUAUUGGUAAUAAUUAAGCCAAUUAAAGUUGCAUUGUGGAAAUUGUGGCGCAGUUUUUGUUUUAACGUCAAGAGUGAAUUCUUCCUCCAUGUCUCCAUGCUAUUUUCAUCAUAGAUUCCAGAUAGGAAUUUUUGUUUUUUUCCGUGGGAAAGAUGAAUAAUUAU